GACGAACCGAGCGAACGUCGUUCGGAAUCACUGGGCUUAAAGGGCGCGUAGGCGGGCUGUCAAGUCUGGGGUGAAAUCCCGCGGCUCAACCGUGGAACUGCCUCAGAUACUGACGGUCUCGAGGGAGGUAGGGGCGAGCGGAACUGAUGGUGGAGCGGUGAAAUGCGUUGAUAUCAUCAGGAACUCCGGUGGCGAAGGCGGCUCGCUGGACCGACACUGACGCUGAGGCGCGAAAGCUAGGGGAGCAAACGGG
rnacentral:rRNA from 1 species